AGUUGUUCGACAGUGUGUUUAAUUCCUUUUUGGGCGAACACUCUUCGUUGAAUGACAUCUUUGGUGAUUCUUAAUGUCCGAUAGUGAAAUUUACUAUUUUCUCUAAAAAAUAUCUUGACUCUUCGUUGACUUGAGUUCAGUUCAGUUCAGUUUCUCACGUUCAGCUUGAGGGUUGUGGAGCCACAGGAUAAACCAGAAAAGUUGGUCCCAAAUCAGACAGUUAGCAAAAUUUGAGAAAAUAAAGAUGGAUCGGAAGGAAUUCUAUGUUUGUGUGUAUCGGACGAUGGGAAUUCAAUAUUUCUUGCAACCAAUUCAAGCUUUGGAUCGUAUACGUUCCGAGUGGGUGUUUCACCGUGAAACGCCGCAAUUGAUAUCUGACAAACCAUAGUUAGGAGAUAUUUGAAAAUUGGACAGUAUGACGAAGU